rnacentral:sRNA from 15 species
AAUAUAUAAUGUACGGGUCUAAACAUGACCACAAAGUAUUGUAUGCUAUGCCGUUCGAGAACUACGGAAAAGAAUGUUUCAGUACCAAGAGAUGAAAGCAGAAGGGAGCUGUGGUCAAGGAGCUGUGGCGUUCAAUUUACGAGUUCGAGCAAAAUUUGUAGCAAACAUUUCAAGGACUCGGACUUUUUUUACUAUCCGUCCGAAAACGCAACAAAGCGGAGACGACUGAUGCCAACUGCUGUACCGCAGAAUCAACGUGAGCAAGUUCUCACAGAGCAAUUAAAAUCAGCUUGUGGGGACAAUGUUUGUGACUUCAACUCCCAAACUGACGAAGAAGUUUUGGAUUCUGGGCUUGCAUUAGACAAUUUAUGUUUGCAAAAGAAAGUUGCUGACUUGCAAAGGGAAAAAGCUAAGCUUCUUGAGCAAAUUGGGAAAACGCAGACGCUUAUUGAUUCCCUUAAUACCAUUUUCACCAAAUCGCAGAUCAGGAAACUUGAGAACGGCGGGAAAAGAGUUCAAUGGAAUCACGAUGACAUUUC